CUUACUAAAUCAUUUGUUUUUUUAUUAGCGUUGAUAUAAAAUGAGUCUAUUUCUUAGUAUAAUAGUUACAAUCCAGUUCAUUCAAUUUGUUGAAGGUUCUAAAAUUUGAAUUUUUACAAGAUGAAGUACCAUCUUGAUGCUGAGUUGUGACAGAUGGUGAGAAAAUAGUUCAAACAGUAACUUUGGGAAUUUUACUACUGUAUUGGAGUUGCUCGAUGAUCAGGAUGGAGAUAUGUUAGGCCAACCCUUCAUGUGGCCCAUGUAUCAGUUGAGAGAUGUGUAGUACUCUGGGUAGAUCAGUGAUACAUUACUAUGUCGGCUGCUUACUUCAGUCAACAGCGAUACCCUCCACUUCAAUCUCAUGGGCAAGGUUGCUAGUUUCUCUAUAUUUGAAUUUUUCUUGAUUACUGGAUUGAAGAUUAUGGGCAAUGAAGCAGCUAGAGACGGCACUCAAAGUAGUAGUGUGAUGUACAACGUGUAUUUUCAGGGAUAGGGAUGGUGCUUCUACCGCAAUUAGUUGGCAAAAUCGAGGAAUGCGACUAGAUGUUGAAGCUGGAACUGGUCUAUAUCCUUGAGAGUGUGGUGUGGUGAUCUCACAAAAAGACUAUGAUCAACCUUUUUCAUUGGAAAAUUAUUGAUGACAUUGAUACCUCCAACAAUAAUCCGUAAGGUAGAGAUAUUUUGAGGACAUCGUGUACGUCUUCAUACAUCACAUUUGAAGCCUAAGAAAUUCUCAUACUGUCCCUAUCUUGGGUAGGCGAGAGGAGACAUGCUCACCUCAGAUGCAUCAUUAGCAAGCAGCAGACGUUUGUUCAUCUGUUGAGGCGAAAAGGAGGACGUUCGUAGACUAGACAUACUCCAAUCUCUUCCGAAAUGUAGACCCAACUAAGUGAAAAGCGUUUGAAACAAAGGGGAGAAGAAUUAUACUCGGAGCUAGCUAGACGAAAGCUCAAAGGACAAUCUCGGACACUAAGUGGUUUCAUGAUAUCCUCACUUCGACAGCUUGGCUCACCGACGAUGGCUCGAAGAUAUUCGAGAUCAUUUUGACAUUUCGAGUUGAGUCAUAUUGAGGACCGAGUUUCUAUUUGCCAUUAAUAUUAAAUAAUAGUCAAUCCAACCUAUGGGAAAUGAGUAUACGGUGCUUAAAUACAUGCUCGAGUGGGUCAUAUGGAUGUGGUCGAGUGUCGGAGAAAGCCAUGUACGGGUUGUAAGUAUAUGUACAUUCCAGAGAGUGUGAAUCAUCACUGCUUUGUCAUGGAUAUUGUCUUUACUGAUUUCACUAUAUAUGUGUACCAAUCCGAUCAUAUCUUUCUAAAAAA